rnacentral:rRNA from 1 species
CUUUACUGUAGCUUUACAUUGGACUUUGAACAGAUCUGUGUAGGAUAGGUGGGAGGCUUUGAAGCCAGGACGCUAGUUCUGGUGGAGCCAACGUUGAAAUACCACCCUGGUGUGUUUGAGGUUCUAACCUUGGUCCCUUAUCGGGAUUGGGGACAGUGUAUGGUGGGCAGUUUGACUGGGGCGGUCUCCUCCCAAAGUGUAACGGAGGAGUUCGAAGGUACGCUAGCCACGGUCGGAAAUCGUGGUAAUAGUGCAUUGGCAUAAGCGUGCUUGACUGCGAGACUGACAAGUCGAGCAGGUACGAAAGUAGGACAAAGUGAUCCGGUGGUUCUGUAUGGAAGGGCCAUCGCUCAACGGAUAAAAGGUA